rnacentral:rRNA from 1 species
CUUUAGAGUUUGAUCCAUGGCUCAGGAUGAACGCUAGCGGCAGGCCUAAUACAUGCAAGUCGAACGGAACAUUUGAUUCGUUAAAUGUUUAGUGGCGCACGGGUGAGUAACGCGUACAUAACCUACCUAUAAGAGGGGGAUAGCCUUGGGAAACUGAGCGUAAUACCCCAUAGUAUUUUUGCGGCGCAUGCUGUGAAGAUUAAAGUUGAGGCGCUUAUAGAUGGAUGUGCGUUCUAUUAGCUAGUUGGUAGUGUAACGGACUACCAAGGCGACGAUAGAUAGGGGGCGUGAGAGCGUGGUCCCCCACACGGGUACUGAGACACGGACCCGACUCCUACGGGAGGCAGCAGUAAGGAAUAUUGGACAAUGGACGGAAGUCUGAUCCAGCCAUGCCGCGUGCAGGAAGACGGCCCUCUGGGUUGUAAACUGCUUUUAUCAGGGAAGAAAAACUAAUACGCGUAUUAGCUUGCCGGACCUGAGGAAUAAGCACCGG